UACGAAGGGGGCGAGCGUUGUUCGGAUUUACUGGGCGUAAAGGGCGCGCAGGCGGCCGGCCAAGUCAGGCGUGAAAGCCCCGGGCUUAACCUGGGAAUUGCGUCUGGGACUGGUUGGCUAGAGAUCGGGAGAGGAGAGUGGAAUUCCCAGUGUAGAGGUGAAAUUCGUAGAUAUUGGGAAGAACACCGGUGGCGAAGGCGGGUCUCUGGGCAGUAACUGACGCUGAGGAGCGAAAGCGUGGGGAGCGAACAGG
rnacentral:rRNA from 1 species